rnacentral:rRNA from 1 species
CCUACGGGGGGCAGCAGUGGGGAAUAUUGGGCAAUGGGCGCAAGCCUGACCCAGCAACGCCGCGUGAAGGAUGAAGGCUUUCGGGUUGUAAACUUCUUUUAAGGGGGAAGAGCAGAAGACGGUAUCCCUUGAAUAAGCCACGGCUAACUACGUGCCAGCAGCCGCGGUAAUACGUAGGUGGCAAGCGUUGUCCGGAUUUACUGGGUGUAAAGGGCGUGCAGCCGGUAGGACAAGUCAGAUGUGAAAUCCACGGGCUCAACCCGUGAACUGCAUUUGAAACUGUUUCCCUUGAGUGUCGGAGAGGUAGGCGGAAUUCCUGGUGUAGCGGUGAAAUGCGUAGAUAUAAGGAAGAACACUCGUGGCGAAGGCGGAUUACUGGACGAUAACUGACGGUGAGGCGCGAAAGCGUGGGGAGCAAACAGGAUUAGAUACCCGGGUAGUC